GAGAUGUGGUGCUGGCAGCAUGGGGGAGGCACGCACGAUUCAUGCACGAGUUGAGUGAGCCUGUCAGUCAGCAGUCUCAUUGUGCAGUGGUUAGUGCUAGUCGCGUCCACAAACCAUGAGCGCAUGACAAAAGAUA